GCCUGCUCACCAGCCAAGAGCAAACAGAAUCACAACCAGCCCCAAUUCCAGGGUUACUCGACAGCUUUCCUACGCUAAUCUUAUUCCUGAAUCUGAGUCAACAAUAGUGAUCUCAGUGGUUUGGCAAUUUACCCACUUCCUAUUGGACAAGGAAAAGCUAUUACUAACUCCACCCCACUGAAACAAAAACACUCAGAAUUUAACAGUACCGUUCUUUCUAAAUCAACCUCCAAAGAUCUAGAAUUUAUUCAUUCAUAAGACUAUAAAUCUUCUGUUGGCAAGAGUUCAUUCCCCAGCUUCCAUCCACACUACUGUAUAUUUAAGGGUCAAAUUCAAAGUAGAAGAGCUGAGGCACCCACAGGAACACACAAUCUCAAAGCCUGUGUCUGAAACCUGCCCCUUAUGCUUAUUUAGGAGACAAAGGGGAAUGAUAAGGAAUGGAGCAUGAGCUGCCAUCCACUUGCAAGAAGGGUUUUGCAAGCGCCAGGGAGGGGAAGUGGUCCUUUGUUUCUAAAGUGCUACUGGGAAAAUGAAUUCCUAACAGUUCCUGGACAAUGCAAUGGUUCGGGUUCAGAAGAGCUUCAUUUACACAAAGAUAUGGCCAAAGCCACAUAGAAUAAUCUUGGAGAAUGACACCUUUUCCAUGUCUGUUUAUGAGAUUACAGACCCAAAUGUCUACGGAGACUCGUUUUACUUUCAGAUAGAAACAAAGAACAAAGAAUUAUCUCCCCUCUGUGGGAAAAACAACAGUGCAAGUGCAAAGCAAAAAAGCUGUCACUCGUCUUCAUGGGGGAGGUGGGCAACAGGGCAUGGUGGGGACUGUGGCAGAACAGAGAGCACACACCCCACCUAAAGGAAAUAUCUGUCAUUCAGCUCAACUGGUAGCUGGCAUGUGGGAAGGCAUGAUCAGCAGUUAAAGAUUUUUUCAGUUUUAAACUGUUGCCUCAAACACUAUUCAAGCCAAACCAAGCAUGUCUGUGGACCACCAGUUUGCAACUUCUGUUGUCUGUGUCUUCCUCUGAAUCUAUCUGAGCUUCACCCUAGGUCAUCAUUACAUGUUAUAAAGUCAUCCAUCUCAUGCAUUAAGACCAACAAUGAAGGAUGCCUGUCUAUAUUCUUGAUUCACCUUACAGUCAAACUCAGGAGAGUAUCUCCAGGUCAUCCACAAAGGAGGAACUUGGGCUACUUCCCUUUUUCUUCCAAUACUCAAGGACACAGUGCCAUCACUGGAAGGCAAUGGUAAUCUACUAUUUGGAGACAGAACAUAUGAAUCUGCACUACUAUGCGUGCUCUGAUGUAAUAAACCAUUGAGGUCCUUCUGCAAGACCUUUGUGCAUGGAAAGAAUUAAUAAUAUGCCAUGAUAAUCUGGGUGUGGUACAGGUGAGAGACAGAGGAAGUAAGAAACCAGAAGAUGCUGCAACUGGCAGCCCCCAAACCACAGGUAGAUUUACUGAGUGUUUAUUAUGUGCUAACCACUGUGCUAAGGACUUUACUUGUAUUAUCAUUCAUUCUUCACAAUAACUGUAUGAAGUAGACACUACCAUUAUUUCUUUUUUUAAAAGUGAAAAGACUGAGACUCACAUAAAUUACUUGCAUAAUGUCACACCACUAGUAAGUGCCAAAGCCUGCACUUGAACCCAGGUGUGCCUGAAUCUAAAGCAAAGCCCAUGCUUUAAUGACAAUGUUGUACUGCCCCCCUGUGCAUGUAGCAUACAUGUCCUGGGAUCCAGAAAGACCAGCAUCUUAAGGAGAAGAAGAAAGGAAGGAAGGAGGCAGGGAGGGAAGGAGAGUUGGAAAGAGGAGGGAGGGAGGAAGCAAGGGUCAACCCUCUAAGAAGGUUUUGGAAGUAGCUUCUAAUCAAUUAUUUAGAAAGGAUCUGAUCCUCUCAGCACUUUGGGAUGCCGAGGCGGGUGGAUCGCGAGGUCAGGAGAUCGAGACCAUCCUGGCUAACACGGUGAAACCCCGUCUCUACUAAAAAUACAAAAAAAUUAGCCAGGUGCGGUGGCAGGCGCCUGUAGUCCCAGCUACUUGGGAGGCUGAGGCAGGAGAACGGCAUGAACCCGGGGGGCGGAGCUUGCAGUGAGCGGAGAUUGCGCCACGGCACUCCAGCCUGGGUGACAGAGCAGGAUUCCGUAUCAAAAAAAAAAAAAAAAAAAAAAGGAUCUGAUCCUAAUAAAUGAAUGAAUCAUAACCUAUUAAAGCCUGCAACCUUGGUAUUUUUAGAGGAAUGUUCCUAAAAUAAUUAGGAUCAUAGCAAUAAUAAUAGUCUAAAAAGUAGGUAUCACCAACCACAUCAGAUAAGCUCUUACAUUUUUAUGAGAGACUGAAGUCGUAAAACAUCGGGAAGCCCAAAGACAUCUUUGGCAUAUUAAAUUGCAUGGCUCUUAAAUGCAACAGAUAUUGACUGAGUUCCUAUUAUGUGCCAGUCAUCAUGCUAGGUAUCAGGGACAUAGAAGCAAGCAAAUGUUAACACACUGCACAAGGACAAGGCAUUAUUCACUGAUGGGAUGAGUGAGACUCAAGGAGAAUGCAAAUACCUGUUACUACUAUUGAUAACAAACUAUGAAAAUAUAGCUUCUGUUUCAUGUAUUUUUUUUUUCAUUUUUACUAUUCUAUCUCACAAUCAACAGAAAUGUACAUAAGUGGAAUGUACUGGUUGAACUGUUUCUUCUAUCCAGAAUUACAUAAUAGCUCAUUUUUGGUUUUGAUUUUAAAAAGACAAACUCAUUUUAUAUUUAGAAAUUGGUAAAUAAACUGGUAUAUCCAACCAAUAAAACUCCAUAUUUCACCAGGCAGACUAAAGAGUAAAAAUAGGGUUGCCUCAAUCACCAUCCCAAUCAAGUCCAUUAACCACCAUACCCCAUUCUUUGUUAAACCAGAAUCAAACAGCAAACAGGCAUGCUCUCAUUUAAUUAAAAGAAAAAAAAAAAAAAAACUCCA